rnacentral:ncRNA from 1 species
GAGAGCCGUGUUAUGGGUGACCUUAUUGCACGGUUCGGAGUUUGACAAAUUAAUUUUCAAACUUCUUAAUUAUGUAAU